GCUCUUUAACCAUCACUGAUAUCACUGACCGUCUUAUCGCGGAGGUUGAAUGAAAUUAAAUGACUUUUUUUCUCUCUCUCUCUCUCUCUGGAUGGAUGGGAGCUGUUUUGGACGCUGACAGCAGGAGAGUCCGGGAACCCUGAACGAGUUUAGGUGUGGAACCGGCCGAGUUGUGAUAAUCAGAGUUUGGUUACCUGGACAAAGACCAUGAGAGCCAAACGUGUGAACAAUGGGUGCAGUGAAGGAGGAAAGUGAAAGGAAGAAAAGUACAUCAUGUCAGGGAGUUCAGAGUAAAUGGACGGCCUGUCGGCUCCAAAGUGCUGAAGCUCUGUAAAGUCAUUCCUGUGUUUUAGUGCAAACUUCCCUGAGGAGUCUUGUGUGUCAUCGGGACCUUGAGACACACCCACACACACACGCUGAUGUUGAGCCUCUCCCUCUCACAGUAGACCUGGCAGACCUCUAAUCUCUAAAAGAUUGAUGAGGUCCUGUCCAGGCGCAGGAGACCUGGCACAGUGUCGAUAAGGCAGCUUUCAUUUCAGCACAUUUUAUCCCUCACUCCUUCCUUUAUUCUCCUCUUUCCUUCAUACUGAGGGACACCGGGGGGCUGGCUGCGCAGCGGGAGAGAGGAUCAUGACAUGUCAAAGCCCUUGGGCAAGAAGGACAGUGUUUUUAAGAAACAGGAACCAUGAGAUGCUCCGGAAAUGACAGUUCUGUUUUCUUGGGUCACUCCAUCUUGGACAGCGGUGUGGUAGCUGAGCAGGAUGCCAGAGUCAGCAUGUCACUGUCAAACUGCUGGAGCUGUACUAUAGUGAAACUACAGAGAGACACACAGAGCUGAAAAUAGCUGAACACACUUCA